rnacentral:pre_miRNA from 1 species
AUUAGGUUGGCAACUAAGUGGUUGCGGAUCUUGUCAUUACCAUCUAACGACAAAAUCCGCAAUCACUUAGUUGCCAACUGA